rnacentral:rRNA from 1 species
UACGUAGGGUGCGAGCGUUAAUCGGAAUUACUGGGCGUAAAGCGUGCGCAGGCGGCGCGUUAAGACAGGUGUGAAAGCCCCGAGCUUAACUUGGGAAUUGCGCUUGUGACUGGCGUGCUGGAGUGUGGCAGAGGGAGGUGGAAUUCCACGUGUAGCAGGUGAAAUGCGUAGAGAUGUGGAGGAACACCGAUGGCGAAGGCAGCCUCCUGGGCCAGCACUGACGCUCAUGCACGAAAGCGUGGGGAGCAAACAGG